CCUACGGGUGGCAGCAGUGAGGAAUAUUGGUCAAUGGGCGCGAGCCUGAACCAGCCAAGUAGCGUGCAGGAUGACUGCCCUACGGGUUGUAAACUUCUUUUAUAAAGGAAUAAAGUGAGGCACGUGUGCCUUUUUGUAUGUAUUUUAUGAAUAAGGAUAGGCUAUCUCCGUGCCAGCAGCGGCGGUAAUACGGAGGAUCCGAGCGUUACCCGGAUUUAUUGGGUUUAAAGGGAGCGUAGAUGGGUUGUUAAGUCAGUUGUGAAAGUUUGCGGCUCAACCGUAAAAUUGCAAUUGAUACUGGCAGCCUUGAGUACAGAUGGGGUAGGCGGAAUUCGUGGUGUAGCGGUGAAAUGCUUAGAUAUCACGAAGAACUCCGAUUGCGAAGGCAGCCUACUAAACUGCCACUGACAUUGAUGCUCGAAAGUGUGGGUAUCAAACAGGAUUAGAUACCCGAGUAGUC
rnacentral:rRNA from 1 species